UUGAGAAUAGUUUAUGGUUUUAUAAGCUAUUGUGGCCCUACCUUCAACAAAAAGCUGACAAAUGCAAUAAGAAAUUGGAUGCGGCUCGCACUCCCAACUUUUCUUUACUGUUCUUAUGGAGAUCCGCAAAUGGAUCUCGUUUUGUAGCCUUUCAUUUCCUUCUUUCUUUUUCUUUCCUUAUCUUUUCCCUUGCUUCUCUCUCUGUUUGAUUUUUUCUGAAUAGAAGAAAAAUUGCAGAGCUAAAGAUAUAGCUGCAAUCUUUCUAGACUUUGUUGAGUUUGUUUGCUAAUCAGAGAAGCUCACUAGUUCAGUAGCUGUCUCUUUGCUUUUGGGAAUUUUUGUUUCAUGAUUAAAAAUAAUCAAUUCAGAGCUUAAAAAAUUUCUGACUUUACCUCAUUUCCUCAGCUAGCAACUGGAGCUUGGGCUUUCAUCUAGAUCUGUGGAGAGUUUUUCAUGCAGUCAAUGAAAUCUUUGAACAGAAAACAGUGAUUUAUAACUGCUUUGAUUUCUGUAAGUGGUGUUAUUGUUCAUAUCAGUCACCGACGCAUCAGAGUAUAUGGAACCAUCUCCUCAAUCCCUCUUCAAUUCAGGUGCGUUAUGCAUAAAAUUCAGUUCUUUCUCUAGGAUUUGUUUGAAAUUCUUCUCGGGUAAGUUUGAUUCUAUUUUCUAAUUUUCAAUUUGCCAUGUAUUGUGAUCUAAUCUAGUAUUUCUUCUGAUGGUUGGUUAAGCUGGAAUUCCUGUCUAUGAUCAGAAACAAUGAGGAGGAUUCCAAUUGAUGUUUGAUUGUUUUUUUUUUUUUUUUAUGGUAAUUGAUGUUUGAUUGUUGCUUCCGGUGAUAUACACUUGUACAGAAACUGACAACAUUGAGAAGGUUUUCAUAUGGAGCAGAAGGGACUUGGACGUGUAGAAGUAGAAGUAGAAGUAGCAGUAGAGGUAGAAGUAAAAUUAUUGAUGUAUUGUAAUUAGUAUGAAAGUUAGUGUUUGAAUUUAAGUGAAUUUGAAAUUGAAUAUCCGAUAAU